rnacentral:rRNA from 1 species
AUGGGCCUUUCUUUCUGGGGAACCUCAUGGCCUUCACUGGCUGUGGGGGGAACCAGGACUUUUACUGUGAAAAAAUUAGAGUGUUCAAAGCAGGCCUUUGCUCGAAUACAUUAGCAUGGAAUAAUAGAAUAGGACGUGCGGUUCUAUUUUGUUGGUUUCUAGGACCGCCGUAAUGAUUAAUAGGGAUAGUCGGGGGCGUCAGUAUUCAGCUGUCAGAGGUGAAAUUCUUGGAUUUGCUGAAGACUAACUACUGCGAAAGCAUUCGCCAAGGAUGUUUUCAUUAAUCAGGGAACGAAAGUUAGGGGAUCGAAGACGAUCAGAUACCGUCGUAGUCUUAACCAUAAACUAUGCCGACUAGGGAUCGGACGGGUUUCUAUGAUGACC